UCGUGCUCGAUUCUCCGAUUGUUAGUUCAUCCUUUCCGAUCAACGUUACUAGGUAUAGUUUACGCCUUUCAUUCCGUAGUUUAGGUGUUGGUUUCGUUAAACACCAACUGGCGCCGUCUGUGGGAAAGUUACUGAGCUAGGACGUGAGAUCACGGUCGCCGGCGUACGCAGAUCUGAAAUUCCAAUCGGAUUUGCGGGCGUUGGCACCAAUCGAGCCGACAAUUCGGACACCCAGCUGUUUUUAAUCGGUUAAUUGCGUCUUCUGGUUUAAUAUACUGAUAAUCUGCUGUGAUUUGCGUGGAUUUAUGUUGGGGGUGCAUGGGGAAAGGUGGCGAUGGGCAUAAAUCAUGAAUCGGGGAAUUCUACGUUUAUUCACCGUUUGUUUGGGUUAAUUGUUUACGCACGAAGGGUUUCCUUGUAGAAUUAAUGUUUUCUUCACUGAUCUAAUGUUUUAUAUGGGAAAAUUGCGGUGUGAGGCUCUGUUUUGAUUAUGUUGGGUGCUUUUUUCUUACGGAUCUAGGGUUUUG
rnacentral:lncRNA from 1 species